UCCAAACAACAUGCUUGUGUACGGUGGA
rnacentral:piRNA from 1 species